CCUACGGGUGGCUGCAGUAGGGAAUAUUGGUCAAUGGGCGCGAGCCUGAACCAGCCAAGUAGCGUGAAGGAUGAAUGCCCUACGGGUUGUAAACUUCUUUUAUAAAGGAGUAAAGUGAGGCACGUGAGCCUUUUUGUAUGUACUUUAUGAAUAAGGAUCGGCUAACUCCGUGCCAGCAGCCGCGGUAAUACGGAGGAUCCGAGCGUUAUCCGGAUUUAGUGGGUUUAAAGGGAGCGUAGAUGGGUUGUUAAGUCAGUUGUGAAAGUUUGCGGCUCAACCGUAAAAUUGCAAUUGAUACUGGCAGUCUUGAGUACAGUUGAGGUAGGCGGAAUUCGUGGUGUAGCGGUGAAAUGCUUAGAUAUCACGAAGAACUCCGAUUGCGAAGGCAGCUUACUAAACUGCAACUGACAUUGAUGCUCGAAAGUGUGGGUAUCAAACAGGAUUAGAUACCCGGGUAGUC
rnacentral:rRNA from 1 species